rnacentral:rRNA from 1 species
UACGUAGGCAGCGAGCGUUGUUCGGAGUUACUGGGCGUAAAGCGUGCGUAGGCGGUGUCUUAAGUUUGUUGUGAAAUCUCCCGGCUUAACCGGGAGGGUGCGGCGAAUACUGAGAUGCUGGAGUGCGGGAGAGGUAAGCGGAAUUCCGCGUGUAGCAGUGAAAUGCGUAGAGAUGCGGAGGAACACCGAUGGCGAAGGCAGCCCCCUGGGUCGACACUGACGCUCAGGCACGAAAGCGUGGGGAGCAAACAGG